AUUGGUGAGUCGGGAGAUCUCCUCCUCGAGCCUAGCCUCACGGUCGACCGACAACUUCAGCUGGUCCACCAGUGUCGCCUUCUCAGCUUCGGCGGUUUUGACCCUAUUCUUCCAGGUCGUUCGGACGUCGUCGAACCUCCGGUACCCGACCUCCAGCUCGGACAUGCUGUAGAUCAGCUGCAAAUAGAAGGUCGGUCGUUAGAAAAAUGAAAUGACGAAAAUAAUAAUGAAGAGGAAAAGAAGAAGAGCUCACCUGGAUCAUGGUCGGAUAAAAGGCAGAAAGCAUGUCGGACACCGGCCGACCCUUCAAGAGCUCCCGAUCAGCUGGGAGAAUGGUUGCCUAACACAACCUCCUAGCCAAAUUGUGGUUGGCCAGGGCCGACGCUCCUUCGGGAACUUGAGUGUCGGACGACGCGAUGCAGCCUGCCGACCUUGUGUCAUCCGUCGGCGUCAUCAGUGCCUUCCCUCGGUCGGUCGUCCAGGCCCGGAGGUUGGAGAGAGAUGAGAAGCUCGAGCUCGACUGGGUCCCUCCUGAGGGUGCGACAGGGGCCGCCGC
rnacentral:lncRNA from 1 species